GACGAACGCUGGCGGCGUGCUUAACACAUGCAAGUCGAACGGAAAGGCCCUGCUUUUGUGGGGUGCUCGAGUGGCGAACGGGUGAGUAACACGUGAGUAACCUGCCCUUGACUUUGGGAUAACUUCAGGAAACUGGGGCUAAUACCGGAUAGGAGCUCCUGCUGCAUGGUGGGGGUUGGAAAGUUUCGGCGGUUGGGGAUGGACUCGCGGCUUAUCAGCUUGUUGGUGGGGUAGUGGCUUACCAAGGCUUUGACGGGUAGCCGGCCUGAGGGGGUGACCGGCCACAUUGGGACUGAGAUACGGCCCAGACUCCUACGGGAGGCAGCAGUGGGGAAUAUUGCACAAUGGGCGGAAGCCUGAUGCAGCAACGCCGCGUGCGGGAUGACGGCCUUCGGGUUGUAAACCGCUUUCGCCUGUGACGAAGCGUGAGUGACGGUAAUGGGUAAAGAAGCACCGGCUAACUACGUGCCAGCAGCCGCGGUGAUACGUAGGGUGCGAGCGUUGUCCGGAUUUAUUGGGCGUAAAGGGCUCGUAGGUGGUUGAUCGCGUCGGAAGUGUAAUCUUGGGGCUUAACCCUGAGCGUGCUUUCGAUACGGGUUGACUUGAGGAAGGUAGGGGAGAAUGGAAUUCCUGGUGGAGCGGUGGAAUGCGCAGAUAUCAGGAGGAACACCAGUGGCGAAGGCGGUUCUCUGGGCCUUUCCUGACGCUGAGGAGCGAAAGCGUGGGGAGCGAACAGGCUUAGAUACCCUGGUAGUCCACGCUGUAAACGGUGGGUACUAGGUGUGGGGUCCAUUCCACGGGUUCCGUGCCGUAGCUAACGCUUUAAGUACCCCGCCUGGGGAGUACGGCCGCAAGGCUAAAACUCAAAGGAAUUGACGGGGCCCCGCACAAGCGGCGGAGCAUGCGGAUUAAUUCGAUGCAACGCGUAGAACCUUACCUGGGUUUGACAUGGAUCGGGAGUGCUCAGAGAUGGGUGUGCCUCUUUUGGGGUCGGUUCACAGGUGGUGCAUGGCUGUUGUCAGCUCGUGUCGUGAGAUGUUGGGUUAAGUCCCGCAACGAGCGCAACCCUUGUUCACUGUUGCCAGCACGUUAUGGUGGGGACUCAGUGGAGACCGCCGGGGUCAACUCGGAGGAAGGUGGGGAUGACGUCAAGUCAUCAUGCCCCUUAUGUCCAGGGCUUCACGCAUGCUACAAUGGCUGGUACAGAGAGUGGCGAGCCUGUGAGGGUGAGCGAAUCUCGGAAAGCCGGUCUCAGUUCGGAUUGGGGUCUGCAACUCGACCUCAUGAAGUCGGAGUCGCUAGUAAUCGCAGAUCAGCAACGCUGCGGUGAAUACGUUCCCGGGGCU
rnacentral:rRNA from 1 species